CACCUUCGCUGCAAGCAACUAAGACACUGAGAAGAAGACAAGACUCCAACACAAGAGAUUGGCCCAGGUUUAAGGAACAAACCUGUAUAUUAAGGACUGCAAUAUCCAGUGGGAUAUAUGAAAGCAGCAAGUGGAGAAAGCACAAAUAUAAAAUCCAUUGGAAGAACGAGCAAAAGCUAUGAAUGACUUGGUAACAUUCUGCAUCUGAACUGAAACAGAAGAGGGCAGCUUGCCUCCCACCUGCCCCACAGCAACAAGUCAGUAUGUCCUGGUGGUCCCUUCGGUGCUGCAGAGCAUCUCUCCACAGAGCCUGUGUGUACAGCUCUACAACCUCAGUGAGCC